UACAGGGGGGGCAAGCGUUGUUCGGAAUUACUGGGCGUAAAGGGCUCGUAGGUGGCCAACUAAGUCGGACGUGAAAUCCCUCAGCUUAACUGGGGAACUGCAUCCGAUACUGGAUGGCUUGAGUUUGGGAGAGGGAUGCGGAAUUCCAGGUGUAGCGGUGAAAUGCGUAGAUAUCGGGAGGAACACCUGUGGCGAAAGCGGCGCACUGGACCACAACUGACGCUGAGGCGCGAAAGCGUGGGGAGCGAACAGG
rnacentral:rRNA from 1 species